rnacentral:sRNA from 1 species
CAUCGCGGUCCGGAGUCACUGGGUUACCCAUCCUCCACUUGGAAAUCCGUCCGCAAGGGCAGAUCAGCUCUUCCCACUGACACAACUUGACCGCCUU